ensembl:lncRNA
AUCUUUACAGUUAUAUGUCUUUUUUAUUAAGCUUUUGCUCUGUAUUGUUUAUGUUUGUUUCCUUUGGUGUUCAGCAGGUUCACAGACAGCUCUUGCUGCCUCCAUAAAACUCCUAGAAAGCAUCCCAAGGAGGGCUACAAAGAUGGUGAAGGUUCUGGAAGGUUCUUUCUAACUCAGUGUAUUAUGUGAUUCUAAAGGAGGGGCAGUGACCGGCAACGAUGGAAUCAUCACAAAGGGGAGAAUCUGCACCUCGUGGGAGGCAGUCAGGGUGCUGGGUGCACUUAUCACACUUGCCUGCCUGCAUCAUACUGCUUUCUUUCUCCUCUGCCUCCGUUCUUCCACAUGAGGACUCAGUUACGAGAACGCCAAGCUUCCUCCUGGAAGACUAACUCACUGCUGCCAGUGGUCCCAGCCAUCGCCUAUGAGAGGACUGUGGAGGCUGCCCUGGCAUGGAGAUAUUCAUACCUUUCUAAUUGGCAAGUGUACCUCCAAAACAAAUGUUGGUGCCAUGGUGCCAUCCCCAAAGGGCCUGAGUGGGCAGAAACACUUUCACUUUGAGAAUCUUCACAAUAGUUCUUCAUGAGGGGCAGAAUUAGAGACCAAAAAGAGUCCUUCUCUUUCCCUGCUUCUGUUUCUUAGUCCUCAUUUAACAUGCAUGAGAAGCUGGGAAUAGUCACUCUUUGGAGUCACGCUUUACUCUCACGAGAAUCAUUAAAUGUUAGUCUUGUAUAAAAUCAGCUACAUUAGUAAUUAUUGCCUUUGCCCACACUUCACUUUUCUGCACAGAUAAAUAGGGAAGCUGGGUGUCAGGACGUGGCGUCUUUGAGUGUUUGCUGUCCAAUACUGGAUGUCUAAAACCAAAACUCAAUGGGUGGCAAGUUACUGGGAGGCACUACCAUUUCUUUAGACGUUCACAGAAUCACUGAGGUUGGAAGAGACCUCCAAGAUCAUCCUUAGUACAAUGUUUAAAUGUUUCUUUAUAAUUCUGAGGAGGCAAAUGAAAGAAUAAUUUGGUUUUGAAUAUCUAACGUCUCUUAUGACUACAUCUCUCCAGCACUUUCUUGAAGCUGUGUAGUUCAUUUCAAAUUACAUUACUGCAAAGGCACCAGAAACAUGAACGUGAGCCAUUAGCUCAUUAGUACCACCAGGAGAAGGUAAAAGAAUUAGCAAUUUCUGUGAUGAGCAGCCACAGCUGAAAUACAUACUGUCUCUAUGGAACUAGAUGUGCUGCUAACACCAAGAGCUUGUAAUAAUAUGACCUUUUAAAAACGUAUGUUUCAUAAAUGGAAAAAUGAGCUAAAGAGGCAGCUGGUGACGAUUUCAAGAAGCUGUACUGCUUGAUUAAACACUAACUUAAUGUAAAUGUAGUAUGUGCGAGCAGUGACUACAAGCACAGAGACUGCAGUGUGCCUCUGACAAAGGCAGACAAAUACGGACUCUUUCUGUGUGCACGGCAAGUUACCAGGAGUUCAGUAAACUCAGGAAACCUUGUGCCAGAAAGAAAAAAUGAGCUGAGAAGUAAUAAUGGUGAUAACAGCGUUCAAUGAGGCAGGCAUAA